rnacentral:rRNA from 1 species
AACAAACGCUGGCGGCGUGCCUAAUACAUGCAAGUCGAACGGGGAAAGUAGCAAUAUGAGUACUAGUGGCGCACGGGUGAGUAACGCGUGGAUAAUCUGCCUUGAAGAGGGGGAUAACUAGUCGAAAGAUUAGCUAAUACCGCAUAAGACCACAAGAACUGAGGUUCAAGGGGUCAAAGGUUUUUCGCUUCAAGAUGAGUCCGCGUAAGAUUAGCUAGUUGGUGAGGUAAUGGCUCACCAAGGCAACGAUCUUUAACUGGUCUGAGAGGAUGAUCAGUCACACUGGAACUGGGACACGGUCCAGACUCCUACGGGAGGCAGCAGUAGGGAAUAUUGCACAAUGGAGGAAACUCUGAUGCAGCGACGCCGCGUGAGUGAUGAAGGCCUUCGGGUCGUAAAGCUCUGUCGCAGGGGAAUAACACAAUGAAUGUACCCUGUAAGAAAGGAUCGGCUAACUUCGUG